AACGAACGCUGGCGGCAGGCCUAAACAUGCAAGUCGAACGCUCUAGCAAUAGAGAGUGGCGCACGGGUGAGUAACGCGUGGGAAUGUGCCCCUUAGUACGGGACGAACGUCGGGAAACGUAGACGCUAAUACCGUAUAAUAUCUCAGGAUCAAAGAUUUAUUCGCUGAGGGAGCAGCCCGCGUCUGAUUAGCUAGUUGGUGAGGUAAUGGCUCACCAAGGCUACGAUCAGUAGCAGGUCUGAGAGGAUGAUCUGCCACACUGGGACUGAGACACGGCCCAGACUCCUACGGGAGGCAGCAGUUAGGAAUAUUGGACAAUGGGCGCAAGCCUGAUCCAGCCAUGCCGCGUGAGUGAAGAAGGCCUUC
rnacentral:rRNA from 1 species